rnacentral:rRNA from 1 species
CAAUAGCGUAUAUUAAAGUUGUUGCAGUUAAAAAGCUCGUAGUUGGAUUUCUGGUUGAAGCGACCGGUCGGGCGUUGAUUCGUCUGCACUGGAGUCGGUUUUGGCCAUCCUUUAGGAAAGUGCGUCUGGUAUUAAGUUAUCGGGCGUAUGAUCCUGGUCUUUUACUGUGAAAAAAUUAGAGUGUUUAAAGCAGGCCUUCGCCUUGAAUACAUUAGCAUGGAAUAAUAAGAUAGGACUUUGGUCUAUUUUGUUGGUUUGCAGACCGAAGUAAUGAUUAAUAGGGAUAGUUGGGGGUAUUUAUAUUCCGAUGUCAGAGGUGAAAUUCUUAGAUUUUCGGAAGAUAAACUUAUGCGAAAGCAUUUACCAAGGAUGUUUNCAUUAA